UACGUAGGUGGCAAGCGUUGUCCGGAUUUAUUGGGUUAAAGGGUGCGUAGGCGGCUUUGUAAGUCAGUGGUGAAAUACUCCAGCUUAACUGGAGGGGUGCCAUUGAUACUGCGGAGCUUGAGUACAGAUGAGGUAGGCGGAAUUGACGGUGUAGCGGUGAAAUGCAUAGAUAUCGUCAAGAACACCGAUAGCGAAGGCAGCUUACUGGGCUGUAACUGACGCUGAUGCACGAAAGUGUGGGGAUCAAACAGG
rnacentral:rRNA from 1 species